rnacentral:rRNA from 1 species
GUCGAACGAGCUCUCCUUAAUGAAGUUAAUGCUUGCAUUAACGGACUUAAGAUUCUGAGCGAGUGGCGAACUGGUGAGUAACACGUGGAUAACCUGCCCAAAAGAAGGGGAUAACACCUGGAAACAGAUGCUAAUACCGUAUAACAACUAAGUACCCAUGUACUAAGUUUGAAAGGCGGCUUUUAAGCUGUCGCUUUUGGAUGGAUCCGCGGCGCAUUAGCUAGUUGGUAAGAUAAAGGCUUACCAAGGCGAUGAUGCGUAGCCGACCUGAGAGGGUAAUCGGCCACAUUGGGACUGAGACACGGCCCAGACUCCUACGGGAGGCAGCAGUAGGGAAUCUUCCACAAUGGACGCAAGUCUGAUGGAGCAAUGCCGCGUGAGUGAAGAAGGGUUUCGGCUCGUAAAACUCUGUUGUUAGAGAAGAACGGGCGUGAGAGCAACUGCUCACGUCGCGACGGUAUCUAACCAGAAAGUCACGGCUAACUACGUGCCAGCAGCCGCGGUAAUACGUAGGUGGCAAGCGUUGUCCGGAUUUAUUGGGCGUAAAGCGAGCGCAGGCGGUUUUUUAAGUCUGAUGUGAAAGCCGGAGGCUUAACCUCCGAAGGGCAUCGGAAACUGAAUUACUUGAGUGCAGAAGAGGACAGUGGAACUUCAUGUGUAGCGGUGAAAUGCGUAGAUAUAUGAAGGAACACCAGUGGCGAAGGCGGCUGUCUAGUCUGCAACUGACGCUGAGGCUCGAAAGCAUGGGUAGCAAACAGGAUUAGAUACCCUGGUAGUCCAUGCCGUAAACGAUGAGUGCUAGGUGUUGGAGGGUUUCCGCCCUCCAGUGCCGCAGCUAACGCAUUAAGCACUCCGCCU